rnacentral:rRNA from 1 species
GCUUAACCGAAGAAGUGCAUCGGAAACUGGGUGACUUGAGUGCAGAAGAGGACAGUGGAACUCCAUGUGUAGCGGUGGAAUGCGUAGAUAUAUGGAAGAACACCAGUGGCGAAGGCGGCUGUCUGGUCUGCAACUGACGCUGAGGCUCGAAAGCAUGGGUAGCGAACAGGAUUAGAUACCCUGGUAGUCCAUGCCGUAAACGAUGAGUGCUAGGUGUUGGAGGGUUUCCGCCCUUCAGUGCCGGAGCUAACGCAUUAAGCACUCCGCCUGGGGAGUACGACCGCAAGGUUGAAACUCAAAGGAAUUGACGGGGGCCCGCACAAGCGGUGGAGCAUGUGGUUUAAUUCGAAGCUACGCGAAGAACCUUACCAGGUCUUGACAUCUUGCGCUAACCUAAGAGAUUAGGUGUUCCCUUCGGGGACGCAAUGACAGGUGGUGCAUGGUCGUCGUCAGCUCGUGUCGUGAGAUGUUGGGUUAAGUCUCGCAACGAGCGCAACCCUUGUUACUAGUUGCCAGCAUUCAGUUGGGCACUCUAGUGAGACUGCCGGUGACAAACCGGAGGAAGGUGGGGACGACGUCAGAUCAUCAUGCCCCUUAUGACCUGCGCUACACACGUGCUACAAUGGUCGGUACAACG